AUAAAAAGUGUUUCCUCUUCUUUUUUUCUUGUCUAUCUUCUUUCAUCUCUAUCAGAAAUCCUUCUUUAGUCUAAUCAGAAAGGAUUCUAUCAUUUCUUUAUCCGUAAUUCAAUAUAGAUGUAUAUAUACCACACUUAUUAUAUAUACUUCUCUUACUCUCAUUCUUUCUCGUGCAAUUUUGAAUACUCGAACAGUUGAUUCUUUUUCUUUUUUCUAUAUUUUUGCUUUUUUCUAUAUUCAUAUUAAGUAUGAAUAACUAAUAAUGAAAAGAAUAAAAAGUUAAUAGCCAAGAUUCUACUAGUUUACUAAAUUCCUAUGCAUGUACAAUUUC
rnacentral:lncRNA from 1 species